GUUCCCACGUUGACGUUGCUGUGCGUCUUAUCAUUCCUUGUCCCCCUCUGUUUCCCUGACUGCCUCUUGGAUCUCGACCCCCUCUCGCAUGGGCACGGACCUCCUACGCCUCACCAUUCGCCCUGACCAUCUGCCUGCCCCACGGACUGCCUUCAUGCCUUGUUCCUCCUCUCGAGUCAACACUUCUGAUGAAAAAUUACUCACAAAGAAAAGGGGGAUGGAACCAAGCGUCUUUUCAUGUCCUUCUCUCCAUUCCCGGGCCUAAAUUGGCUGUCAAAGUGUACCAACUUGUCAGAAUACGUCCUCAUCCUUCUACUAUCCAGUCAAAACCCCACCAAAGGACUGGAGUGGAACACUAUCACCGGGACAAUUGUUGGUCCACAGGUCAGUUAGCUUAAGUGUCC